ACAAAAUACUUUUAGAGACUUUGUGUACAAAAUUUGGAUAAAAAAUAUUUUAAAAUGAGAGAGAAAUUAAUUUGGAAAUAAAAGGAAUAAAAAGAAAAUAAAAUAAAAAUAGAAAAGAUUGGCUCUGAGUAUUUGAAAAUAAAUAAAUAGAAAAUAGAAAAUAGAAAUAAACGGUCAACAGAAUUUGAAAAAAUGUGUUGGCUAGCAGUGAUUGGUCAAAGUUUG
rnacentral:lncRNA from 1 species